rnacentral:rRNA from 1 species
UACGUAGGGGGCUAGCGUUGUCCGGAAUCAUUGGGCGUAAAGAGCGUGUAGGCGGCCUGUCAAGUCCGCUGUGAAAACUCGAGGCUCAACUUCGAGCUGUCGGUGGAAACUUUCUGGCUAGAGUCCGGAAGAGGAGAAUGGAAUUCCUGGUGUAGCGGUGAAAUGCGCAGAUAUCAGGAGGAACACCAACGGCGAAGGCAGCUCGCUGGGACGGUACUGACGCUGAGGCGCGAAAGCGUGGGGAGCGAACAGG